rnacentral:rRNA from 1 species
CCCCGCACAAGCAGCGGAGCGUGUGGUUUAAUUCGAUGCUACACGAAGAACCUUACCAGGGUUUGACAUGCAAGUGGUAGGAAACCGAAAGGCGACCGACCCUUCGGGGAGCUUGCACAGGUGCUGCAUGGCUGUCGUCAGCUCGUGUCGUGAGAUGUUCGGUUAAGUCCGCUAACGAGCGCAACCCUCGCUGUGUGUUACAAGUGUCACGACGGUACUGCCGGGUCUUAAGCCGGAGGAAGGUGGGGAUGACGUCAAGUCAGCAUGGCCUUUAUGUCCUGGGCUACACACACGCUACAAUGGCCAACACAAUAGGUUGCUAAGCCGCGAGGUGGAGCCAAUCCUCAAAGUUGGUCUCAGUUCAGAUUGCAGGCUGCAACCCGCCUGCAUGAAGGUGGAGUUGCUAGUAACCGCAGGUCAGCUAUACUGCGGUGAAUACGUUCCCGGGGCUU